ACCGGCUAACUCCGUGCCAGCACGGCCGUACGGUAAGUACGGGAGGGUGCGAGUACGUUAAGUACGGUAAAUUACGUGGGACGUAAAAGCGCAUGCGUAGGUUGGUUUAGUUAAAGUCAGAUGUAGAAAACGGCCCGGGCUACCAACCGUACGGUAAUUGCUAUUUAGAAAACGUGGACAAAACUAGAGUACUGUAGGAGGGGUAGUAAUUUCAGGUGUAGCGGUAGAAAAUGCGUAGAGAUCUGAAGAAUACGGUGGCGAAGGCGGCCCCUGGACAGAUACUGACACUCAGAUGCGAAAGCGUGGGGAGCAAACAGGAUUAGAUACCCUGGUAG
rnacentral:rRNA from 1 species